rnacentral:rRNA from 2 species
UAGAGUUUUGAUCCUGGCUCAGGAUGAACGCCGGCGGUGUGCCUAAUACAUGCAAGUCGUACGCACUGGCCCAACUGAUUGAUGGUGCUUGCACCUGAUUGACGAUGGAUCACCAGUGAGUGGCGGACGGGUGAGUAACACGUAGGUAACCUGCCCCGGAGCGGGGGAUAACAUUUGGAAACAGAUGCUAAUACCGCAUAACAACAAAAGCCACAUGGCUUUUGUUUGAAAGAUGGCUUUGGCUAUCACUCUGGGAUGGACCUGCGGUGCAUUAGCUAGUUGGUAAGGUAACGGCUUACCAAGGCGAUGAUGCAUAGCCGAGUUGAGAGACUGAUCGGCCACAAUGGAACUGAGACACGGUCCAUACUCCUACGGGAGGCAGCAGUAGGGAAUCUUCCACAAUGGGCGCAAGCCUGAUGGAGCAACACCGCGUGAGUGAAGAAGGGUUUCGGCUCGUAAAGCUCUGUUGUUGGAGAAGAACGUGCGUGAGAGUAACUGUUCACGCAGUGACGUAUCCACCAGAAUGCCGAU